AUUCCAUAGCACAGUUAAAAAAUGUUUCUCUCAAUGAACACAAUCCAGGCUGACACCCACAUUAGAUCAUAUGGUGACCAUCAGCAGCCUUCUGUCCUCCGGAAAAUUUCUUGUAUGAAAGAGUGUGCUGACAUCAGCAAUGGUUCCAGGAGUCUACAAGUCCCUGAGAAAGACACUUUCCCAGAAAAGAGUAUCAUUUUGGGAGUGUGGGCUGUGAAAAAGGAAGUGAUGACUGAAGAGGAGCGAGGAUUACUCUAGAUCUGCAUAUGUAAUGGAUGAAUUUAUGAGCAUGCUGGGACACAGCUCCAGAAGACACAAAUCAUACCAUUCUUACUGAAAUUGCAACAUCCCGUGUUUCAUGCCAUUUCAGAACCUAGCCACUGAUUUUCUUGACUUAUCUUCAUCUAUCAAAAUAUAUGAGGAACACAAACUCUUAAAGGUCAAAGUAAAGGUUUGUAAAAGUGACUAACAGUUUUUUGAAAUACCUCUGAAAAAUUUUGAUUUUCAAAGAGACUUUCAAAGUGCAGUUUCUGAAAAUCAGGUGUUGCAUAAUGCACUGGAGGAUGGACACAGAAAAUAGCUAGACAUCCACACCAUCUAUAACAGCUGUUGAAAAGAUCGGUGUAUUGUACCAAUUAGAAAAUGCAUACUAAAUUUAAGGAACAACAUAUUGUGCUUUAAUUGUGAAAAUUACAUAGGAUGUUUCAAAAUGAAUGUAUCAGCUUUUUAAUGGAAGAUUGAAAGCUUGCCUCUGAAGAAGCCACAUGUGCCUGCAAGGAAAAAAUCUAUUCAGGGACUGUUCUCCACUUAAAAAACAAAACCCACUCCAAACUAGAUCUUGAGACUUGGAUGGGUUAGAAGAGUUAUUUCUCAAAAUGUUGUUCACUGUGCUCCUGCACACUGUAUCUCCUUCAAAAAAUUUGAAUCAGCUUCACAAGAGGAAAUGCCUAUCUUUCAGUCACAAUUAGAAAAUUCAUCUCUCUGAGGAGUUCAGGCUGUAUCUAACCCACUUUCAGCCUGCAAUGCCAUUCAUUCUGGUGUCAAUUUAAAAUGAGAAAGAGUUGACAAAAGAAACAAUGGAAUUAAGUCAGAGAAAAACAAUUAUUAUACAAAUUAUUAGAAGUGAGAAUAGCAGGUUUUAAAAAGUCAUCCAAGAAAAUGCUACUAGCUUGAAAACUCUGUAGAACCUUUUAGGCCUCACAAAAUCCUUAUUUUUGUGGCUUUAGUUUGUGUGGUUGGUUGUUUUUUUCCCAGAAGUCCCAUUAUGGCUAUAGGUUAGGUCAUAUUUUAGCCUGAAGGACACCUGAUAUUUAGUGUGAAAUGCCUAACUAGGAAUCACCAUCUAUUUGUCAAGGAAAUAUCCAGGAUGGAAGCAUAUAUAGUUUAGAAUGCCUCCAUUUUUGCAACGCUCCCUUCCUUCCUGUGUCCCAAAGAUGUUGCUUUCCCCCGGCUUUAACAGAAUAAACAUCUGCAUUAUGGACUGCAGCAGGCUGGCAGGGACAAGCUAGGGUUACUUAGGUUUAGGAUUACUUUAAUACAUCUUUAUUUUGUUUUGUGGCUUUGAAGUGCUAAACCUGAGGCAACUGGGAUCUGUUCUCCACUUUGUUAUUUAUAACUGUUCCCAGGACACACAUGAGACAGCGUUGCCAGCCUGAGAGGCCCAAAGACCUGAUUUGUCUGUUGAGCCUGGGUAUCCGCCUACAAUGACAACAAAACGUUGCUCUGUGUGUAGAUCUCAAUGUCACCCCUUGUCACCAUGGUACACAGCCUCAUUUCUGAAUAUGUUGACUCCCAUCCACAAAUGUUGCUGGUCAGCCAUUUUAUAUGAAUUUAGUACAGAGUUAUGGAGCUGGCACCGUCUACUGAAAUUGUCCCUUUUUCCUGCAAGUCUCCCCACGGCCUCUCCAUUUUCAUGUUCAUUGAAACAGUUUGGUGCUAUUUUCCAAAUCAAGCAGCUUCUUUGUAUGGUUUAUUUUUCAAAUAGUGAACUCGUAAUUUCUUACAGUAUGUUUCAGAUUAAAGGAGAACAAUAUUAGUGAUGCCAAAAAAGUAUGAAAUGUAAUUGUCAAAUACACUGGAGACAGCAAAAUGGCUUUUGUAGUUCUUAAGAGUAUUUGAAUCUUGAAAGAAGGUUCAGGCUGGUUUAGAUUAAAAUUUUUAAUGUCUUUUCUUAAAAGGUAAAUCUUAGUAUAUUUUAUAUCUAAAAACCAAAGCCAUAAUAUGACCUUUUAUUUGUAAUAAAAGAUCAGCGGCUGUAGAUGAUGAAAAUUCACAUUGCUGUAUUUCAGGUAAGAACCUUUUAAAAAUAACACUAGAUAUCUUUCAUCAAUGAAAAAGAGAGUCAAAUUAUAGCUUUGUGAUUAAGUUUUGUACAAUAUUUACCAGUCUGAGAAUUCCUGGGCCUAUGCUGAAAAAUGUGAAUUUUACCUUUUACAUACUCUAAUUUUUAACCAAGACAUAAGGGUAUAUUUUCAUCUUGUAUGGUUAAGAUAAGAUGUGCAUUUAGGCAUUUGCCAGUUUGUAGACUAAAUGAGAAGGAACUGUGUUUUGGUGGUGAGGAUAGAUAAGCCUUGUGUUGGGUGCUAAGUGGGAUGAUAAAAAAUAUUGUGCUGACCCUAUGACUCCUGUGACUAUGAACUCUUGACUUAGGGAGCUGGCAAUUUAAUAGUAAAUUAGUACAAAAUGUGACUUAAUUAAAUAUGGCAUUUCUAGACAUUCAGAGUACCUUACCCUCUUUUUUUCCCUAGUUUCAUUUUGUUUGCAUAAAGCUGGUGAACAGAAGUGACUGAUGUGGCGUGUGCAAUGGCUUUACCAAUCUCUGACCCACUGCAUCCCCUUUUCCCAGACUUUCCAGGCUUAUCUUAAGUGUAAAAGCUUGAUUUUAGUUUAGAUUUACUGCUUACUGAAUUUUGGAUUUUUGUGUUAGAUUUUCAGAAGUCCAAGACCCAUAAAUACUUGAUUACAUAAGAUACAGAACUCUGUGCAUCCGUUUCUUCUUUCCAUUCUUUGCUCUUGGAGAACAAUGUACUCCAUAUAGGCAGUAACUGGGCAAAAAGAUAUUUUCUAUCACCAUGAAAAAUGGUUUUACA